UUCACAAUCGUUUACUAGUCUUUAUUUCUCCAUACAAGUAUAUAUUUUAUCAUUUCUUUUCUAGACAGCUAUUUCUCUGAGUUUGGUUCCUUUCUUCCUCAGUUACCAUUGUUUUACUUCUAUUUUUCUUAAUUGCUUGAUCCUCGACCAGCUAUAUCUGCCACGCCUUCAAAGUUUAAAACUCCAGAUAAAAGAAGGAUCAUACUGCGAUUAUGCUAGGUGCUUUGUUUUCUUGGAAUUUUAUGCAAGCUUUGGUGAGGGGCAUAAAUUUUUUGAUCUAUCUCCACCAGACCUUCAACGACUACAUGGAGACAUUCAUCAAGACCAUCAAGGACUCCAUGGAGACGGAGCAGCAGGUAAUUACUUUCGGUCGAUACGGAGGCGGAGGAGGAAGUGAAUGGGAUGAUGGAAUCAAUGACACGGUGAAGCAAUUAAUAAUAUACUCCGGACAGGUAAUCGACUCCAUUCGAGUUGAGUACAUUAAGAGAGGGAACUCAUUAUGGUCUGAAAAGCACGGUGGUGAAGGUGGAGCAGCACACGUGGUAAGUCCAUUAAAAUAUCUCUUAUACUCCAUUUUUUAAUAUCACCAUUGUUUUUUAUUUUUAUCUUGCUUAUUGAUGAACUUAGUAAAAAUAAAAAAUUCAUCUACACCAUGCACUACUUGCUCAUUGAUUAGCAAGAGACCAUCUCCUUUUAAAUCUACAUCUAUAUCUAUAACUGCAUUACUAUUAAAAGUGUAAGUUAUUUUUUUAUUUUUUUAUACCAUUUUAAUCUAAAGAACAACCAAAUUUAUAUAUAAACAUACAUUAAUGUUAUAUUUAUUGUUUGAGAAGUCUAUGUAAUUGAAUUUAUUUUUAAGAACUCUAUAUCUUUCUCAUAAAAACCGAAUUUAAUUAUUAUUAAGAACAUUACGUCCUAUAAAAAAAUUAAAAAUUUAUCUCUAGGUUUUUUAUAUUUAAUUUUAAUCUUUCUUUAAAUGAAAAUUAUAUAGUUGUACACAUAAGAUCAAUUAUUUGGAAGCUUACGAAUGGACAAAUUUAAAUUCCUUUUAGCCAUUAAUAAUAAUUAAAAAAAAAAAAAAAUCAUCAAAACUAAAUAUGUUAUUAAUUGGAUUGACCUUGUACCAAACAAUACCCUGUUUGGUUAUCAUUUGUUUUUUGACAUUUUGUUUUAACAGGAAACAUAACAAGUGUUUUAUUUUGAAUAGUAAUCGAAAUAUGUUUAGUAACGUCCAUUUAUUGCAAGAUUUUUGAAAGAAGAAAUAUGAAUACAUGUUUAGUAAAAAAAAAAAGUUUAAAAAAUGAGUAAUGAUUCUUGCAUAGAUCAUUAAGGCAGAAUUGUUAGGCCUAUUAUAUUUGAUUGGUCAAUGCAUGCCAAAUAUAAAAAAUCCUACCCUCCACUUUCUUAUCUAUGUAUUAAUGACCAAUUAUAUAUGGUAGACCUUACAAUUUUGCCUAAGGUUCAUCAUGUGCCAUGAGAGGAUCCAAAUUCCUUAAUACAACCACUUAUAUUUAUUCAAUUAAGACGUUUACCCUUCCUUCUUAAUUGAAAUCUUACCGAUAAAGCUAGACUAUCCUACGGAGUAUCUCGUUUCAAUAUCAGGAUAUUAUGGAGACUUUUUGGGUUACCAUGUCAUACAAUCUCUUACACUCAAGAGCAAUAAAAGACAAUUUGGACCAUAUGGCAUCGAAAAAGGAACUCAUUUUGCAUCCCCAUCCAUUAAUGGCAAGAUCAUUGGAUUCUGUGGAAGAAGUGGUAUUCUUCUGGAUGCAAUUGGAGCAUAUUUUGAACCAAAGGCUAGUUAGGAUUUGUGGCUUAUAUUUCUAAUUUAACAUUUUUUUUAGUUGUAUUUUAGUAGAUAAUUUGAAGUGUGGAACUUGCUCUACCAUUAGAGCUGGCCCUGAGAUUUCAAAUAUUUUGAGAGGCCCUAGGCAAACUUUCAGAUAUGAGGCCCUUAAGUUUCACACGCGCAAAAAAAAAAAAUACAGGAGAGCGGAAUUUUUACACGAUGUUUUCAAAUUCUAUAGCUAAUUUAAUUGUGCGCAUGUGUAUUGUGCAUAAGACAACUAACUAAUAACUAUAAUCUUCUUUCAUUAAAUCUUCAUGUUCAUUGACUAACUUCCUAUGAUCUUCAUUCAUUAAAUCUUCAUGUUUAUUGAGAUUUUCUUCAUUUGCUUUCGCAUUCAUAUGUUCUUCAUUCACCAAAUCUUCAAUUAAACUCUCUAUUUGAGUAUUGCUCCUAAAAAACUUAAGAUUAUCUCCUUUUUGACAUUAAAUCAAUUCUUCUUCUCUCUUCUUCUUUUUUUCCUUUUUUCAUGCCCAGAUUCAAAUUUUCUUGUAGACAUAAUCAAAUCUCUUAAAAUCUAAAUAAAAGGAACCAUAAUCAACAUAAAACUAGACUUCAAAAAAAUAAUAAUAAUAAUUUGGUUUGUUUAAAGAAAAUAUAGAUUACCUCAAUAUGCAAUGAUUUGAUUCAAGUUCAAGGCAAAUAACCUCACGAGAUCCUAAGAAGAGUGUCCUGCUAGCAUGUGAAAGAAGAUCACAAUUAACAUAAAACGGAUGGAGAAACAAACAGAAACAAUAAUAACUAAGCAUUGCCGAUCGUAUAAUAAAUAUAAUUAAAAAAAAAAAAAUCUCAAAUCAAGCAGUUUGGUCGAAUGAUCUCCUGGCUGGAGUUUUCACUGGAAUCUGGAGGAGAGGAGAGAAGACAAAACAGAGUAUCCAAAAUACAGUCCAAAAGUGGAAAUGAGGAACAGAAAACUGCAGCUUCUUUUUUAAAUUCAUUGUUUAUAUAGCUGCUAAAAUUUGAUGACUACAGUUGACAAAAAUAUGUGGAGAUGAGGUGACUAUAUAUAUAUAGGAGGCUGAACUUGUAGUGCUGAAGAAGUAGUGGGAAUUUUAGGUUAUACGUGGCAUCCACUAUCAUAUAUAGUUUUGUCUUUCACUCUUUAUAUUAACUACACUUUAUGUGUGUGUUUUUUGGGAGCGAAUUACCCCUUUCUUGAUUUCAGGAUGAGGAAUCAACUUUAGUAGCAGUGAUUGAUUGAUCAUUGCUACAGAAGACCUGUGCAAAUUAAUAGAAAAAACCAUUAACUUUUGUUUUGUUAAAGCGUGCUAUUGAUUUCCAUGUGUUUGUACAUUCUGAUGGCAAGUGCUUUGACAGUAUUAUUAACUGAAAUUCUAGCUGAGCCAACUUCAAAUAACAUCAAUAAUGGUGGUAUGUAUCUUCAUAUAAAAAUAAAAUAUAAAAAAAACCCUUAAUUUGGCACUUUUAAGUAUGAGCAUAAUUUAGAGAUCGAAAAAGUUAAUUAUUACGGCUCAACCCAGAAGGGAUCCUUAAUUUUCGUAGGAUUGAAUGUGAAAAUGCAAAAACUUAUGAGGAAAAGGGGUAUGAUUGCUGCUAUUGUGAGAUUGGAGUGGAAUUAGGGAGAGGAAAAAAAAAAAAAAAAAAAAAAAAAAAAAAAAAAAGUGCCUGCCAUAGAUUAUGGACUCGAUCGCCAUGAAAGACACAUGUAGAAAGGCACACAUUUAUUAAAAUACUAAGAGAACCAUAAUAUAUUCAUUCAGCUUUUGAUAGCCAUCACACACAGUGACACACACACACAAAAAACCCUAGUUUGGAAGCUACUUUUCACUAUUGGAACAAAGGUAAAGGCCCGAAUCAAACGAACCAAAGUUAGAACAAAUCAAAUGAUGAGAUGAACGAAAGAAAGAAACAUAUAUAAAAGAUCGAUUCAUGCAAAAGGAGAGAGAAGAGAGAAAGAGGACGAACAUACCUUGUCACCUGAGGCGAUAGCGGAGGCUGCGUCCUGCGCAGUGUCGAAGCAGAUUGUGCCGUCUGAAACUUGCCCUAACUUAGUACUCCCUUUUAACUUCCCUUUUUCAUCCCCUAUGGGCCUCAAAAUUUUGAUGCCCAAGGCGACCAAGACUUGUCCUAACUUUAUUUUAUUUUUUUUCAUCCUCUAUGGGCCUUAAAAUUUUGAGGCCCUCUAAAAUUUGAGGCCCAAGGCAGGCCAUGGCCGGCCCUGUCUCCCAUGGCCGUUUUCAUCUGUUGCGUGGAAUUUCCACCUCUUUUGUUCCUCCUGCUAGGUUGGGCUUCGAUUGGGCCUAUGGCGUAGGGUUGUGCUCUUGUAUACUUUUGUUGGCCUUUCCCUUUUUGGGCUGUAAAUAAAUAUAUAUACUAUCUUUAACAUUAAAAAAAAAAAAAAAAAAAAAAAAAGGAAUUAUAAUUUUUAUCAAACAAGGAAUUAUAAUUGGAACUCUUUAAAUAGAUACCGGAGUUAAGAGGUAGAGGUGAGUUAAAGGUCAGGUAGAGUGAAAAAUCAUUUCAAAAUUUUGUAUACAUAUCCCGGUGUUUAAAUUUAUCUACCGUUGUAAUAUUUUUACGUUAACAUUGUGAAUCUCCUCUCAUACGUGUAAUCCAAAUUUGACUACACCACGUAUAAUAUCUUGUGUUUUUUGUUCUGCAAUUGAGUUGUUUGCUUUCAAUACUAAUCCCCUAACAAUCAAUAAUUAAUCCCACCCUGUUACCCCCAAAAGAAAGAGAAAAACUUUAUUGCCCUCGUUAUAUUAGUGACAUGUAUUAUUACUAACUUAUUUGAUAGUGACAUAUAAUGAUAAGACUCACAAAAGUUACUAACGUGAGAGGAUAAUAGGAUUCACAAGCGCAUAUAACGUUUCUCCCAAAAGAGAAAGAUUAUAUUAAGAUAAUGGGAUUCAAUUGCAGGAAGGCCUUGAGAGCUUGACUUCAUUCUAAAAACCUUCCCAAAUUUGGACUUGAUCCCCAUUUUAUAAUAGUAUUGUAAUCAAUAAUUAACAAUGCAGUUAUGUGGAUUCACUGUGUGGUCCUUAAAGUCUGAAAAGUGGCUAUCUAGUGGCCGGUCGUUUUAAUGAUCUAACUAAAGAAAUGUUCUUUUUCUUUUUCUUUUUUUCUUUUUUUAUAAUUAUUUUUUACCAUUUGAAUGGUACCACAAACAAACACUCAUUUUUGUCCUUGGAUGAAGAUGCUCUCCAGCUCGAAAAGGAAAGGUCAUGCACACCCAUUAAUUAUUGAAUUGAAUUCUCCCAUUAACAAACACUCAUUUUUAUCAAUGGUCGGUAGGUGUGUAGGACCUCUUCUUUCCUGGAGAGGAUCCUUAUCCUUUGUCAUUUCCCGUGUUCAAACACUCAACCCCUGAGAAGGGAGAGUUUAUACCAUAUAGACUAAAUAACUAUUCUUGAGAGGCCCGGAGAACUAUUUUUGUGGGCAUGUGUAAAAAUUUGAACCAUCGCUGUAGUUGUAGUUAAGUCACACAUAAUGGAGUGAGAGGGAGAGUGGAAAAGUGGCAAAAUCUAAGUACGGAGUGAAAACUGUAGCAAAACACGUGAAGUGAAAGCGCGCGAAGCGUAAGAACUACACCUUUUACAUUAUGAAUUGUAUAACUGAUUUCAAAUUAAACAUUCUAACACAUUAUGUAGUUUUUUGAAAUACUAAAGGCCGUAUGGCCUAGCAGGGGCGGAGGGAGGGGGGCAAAAAAUUCAGCCAAAUCAGCCCUCAAAUUAGGGCACCAUGCACAACCAAAAUUUCCCUCCACCCUUCCCUCUUGCCCUAACCCUCUGUUCUUUACCUUCUCCUGAAUCUCCAUUCUCCUCCACCUUUAGGCUUCAUACAAACUGACAAUCUGUUGGAACACCACUUUGCUGAGGAUGCAAAUUGCCCGGGGUGAAAACUGAAGCAAAACACGUGAAGUGAAAGCGCGCGAAGUGUAAGAACUAUACCCUUUACAUUAUGAAUUGUAUAACUGAUUUCAAAUUAAACAUUCUAACACAUUAGGUAGUUUUUGAAAUACUAAAGGUCGUAUGACCCAGCAGGGGCGGAGGGAGGGCCCCCCCCCCAAACAAAAACAUUCAGCCGAAUCAGCCCUCAAAUUAGGGCACCGCGCACAAACAAAAUUUCCCUCCGCCCUUCCCUCUUGCCCUAACCCUCUGUUCUUCACCUUCUCCCGAAUCUCCAUUCUCCUCCACCUUCAGGCUUCACACAAACUGACAAUCUGUUGGACCACCACUUUGCUGAGGAUGCAAAUUGCAAUCUAGGACAUGGUCUGGGACUCUGGAAGACUAUCGAAAAGUGAGAGAGAGUUAUACAUUUGAGGGGAAUUGAACUACAAAUAAAAAACAUGAUGAUCUCUUUUAUAUGAACAGAGAAGUAUGGUCUUUUUGUCAACAACAAAUUCUUGCCUGAACUAUUUAAUAUAUUAUAUAUAUAUAUAUAUCUUGAUUCCAUUCCAUGUCUUUGAUGCACAAAUUAGAAACAGCUUUUUAUGUUAAAGGACUUGAAGUUUACAUUAUUCAUGAAUGCACGCUACCCUGUUUCAGGCCUUGCUUUUUUUUUUUUUUUUUUUUCGGAAAGUGCUUCAGGCUGUUUUUGUUUAUAUAUCAAUUAUGCAUAUCAUAUGUUUAACCCUCAGAAGUUAGAACUGAUGCAAUAUAUAGUUAUAUACUUACACCGUGUCAUAUACCAGUAUUAGUUAUAAACACAGAUAAAACUCAAAAUCUUUUGAAGUCAUUAUUUAUUAAAUAAAAACCAACAUGGUGUAAAUACCAUGUUUUUUUACAAUCUUCCAAAAAAAAUUUAGGAAUAAUUUGUUGUUCAUGUUGGUUUUGAUUAGUGAAGUUAAUGAGGAUAUAGCAUUUUUACUUGAUAAAU